GGCAUGUAAAGGCCAAUGACACAUUUGACACAAUAUGCAGUUUGGCCCAUUCUUUCAGAUGGGAAGGAAGAGCAGUUUGCCCAUCCAACCUGAAGACCAAAUUUCAUGAUUGCACAGAGCACUUCUGGAGGAAGGGGAGAUUGGUGGAAAGCCCCCCCCCCACACGAACAUCUGCACUUCAGAACUGGGAAUGGACCCACUUCACAGAUGCUUCUUCCGAUUGCACACAUGGAGCACCAGCCAGGAGGAAGAAAGCCAAUGACAGUUCUCACAGGGAGAGGCCAAGCUAGGACUCCAAGGUCUCCAGGGCUGCUGAAAUACAGCAACUUGCCACAAGGAGAAGCAGCAACAUAUGAAGCCUCAGCCCAGGCAGAAUCUGACCCUUACAUAGCCCCCUUGUAUAAGCUGUCCAGGCCUCACACUCAAAUAGCAAUCCACAUCUGCUGGCAGUUGAUUUAUCCCCUGACGAUGGCCUGAUCUGCUGAUCAAAACUGGCGAUACUUCAAGUGGAAUUCUAAAUAUUCACCAGCUGCUGCAUCACUGUGGUUUGAAAGAGACAUUGCUAAGUGAACGGAUAAUAAGAAAAAUAAUAAGUGCACUUUUGUUUCCAAACAGUUCCUGACAGAUUUCCUUCCUGUCCUCUCGUCCAGAGCGAUUCCGAACAUGGACAAAGUGAGGACAUUUCAUCCACUUGCACAACUAGCAUGUAGAGGGACUGAGGGAGAUGCAUGUGAGUCCCAGUCACAUCCCUGCAGUCCCUCAUCAGUGUGCUUCAUUAGUGUCAUUCAGUGUCAGCCAGUGUUCCCUAUUGGUUCUACAACACUGAAAUCAUGCACCACAUCCUGAGCACCACUCAGGAUGAAAUCCAGGGUCGCCUUCCCUCUGGUCAGUUCCAUGACCAACUGUUCUAAGGAACAGUCAUUUAGGGCAUCUAGAAAUUUGACUUUGUCAUGACCUAACAGUGAAUCCACUCAGUCUGUGGAUACAUUUGCAUGUAACAUAAAUGUGGCCACAUUUGCAUGUGAUUUAAAAAAAAUUAUUGUUAUUGUUCACUGCCUAGAGGCUUUGGAGGAGAUA